AUUGAACGCUGGCGGAAUGCUUUACACAUGCAAGUCGAACGAUGAACCUUAGCUUGCUAAGGGGAUUAGUGGCGAACGGGUGAGUAAUGUAUCGGAACGUAUCCAAUAAUGGGGGAUAACUAGUCGAAAGAUUAGCUAAUACCGCAUACGUCCUACGGGAGAAAGCUAGGGACCUUCGGGCCUGGCGUUAAUGGAGCGGCCGAUAUCUGAUUAGCUAGUUGGUGGGGUAAAGGCUCACCAAGGCGACGAUCAGUAGCUGGUCUGAGAGGACGAACAGCCACACUGGAACUGAGACACGGUCCAGACUCCUACGGGAGGCAGCAGUGGGGAAUUUUGGACAAGGGGCGAAAGCCUGGUCCAGCCAUUCCGCGUGAGUGAAGAAGGCCUUCGGGUUGUAAAGCUCUUUCGCAAGGGAAGAAAACUUAAGCUCUAACAUAGCUUGAGGUUGACGGUACCUUGAUAAGAAGCACCGGCUAACUACGUGCCAGCAGCCGCGGUAA
rnacentral:rRNA from 1 species